rnacentral:rRNA from 1 species
GUCUGCGUGGAGCCGACCUUGAAAUACCACCCUUUAAUGUUUGAUGUUCUAACGUGGACCCGUAAUCCGGGUUGCGGACAGUGUCUGGUGGGUAGUUUGACUGGGGCGGUCUCCUCCUAAAGAGUAACGGAGGAGCACGAAGGUUGGCUAAUCCUGGUCGGACAUCAGGAGGUUAGUGCAAUGGCAUAAGCCAGCUUGACUGCGAGCGUGACGGCGCGAGCAGGUGCGAAAGCAGGUCAUAGUGAUCCGGUGGUUCUGAAUGGAAGGGCCAUCGCUCAACGGAUAAAAGGUACUCCGGGGAUAACAGGCUGAUACCGCCCAAGAGUUCAUAUCGACGGCGGUGUUUGGCACCUCGAUGUCGGCUCAUCACAUCCUGGGGCUGAAGUAGGUCCCAAGGGUAUGGCUGUUCGCCAUUUAAAGUGGUACGCGAGCUGGGUUUAGAACGUCGUGAGACAGUUCGGUCCCUAUCUGCCGUGGGCGCUGGAGAACUGAGGGGGGCUGCUCCUAGUACGAGAGGACCGGAGUGGACGCAUCACUGGUGUUCGGGUUGUCAUGCCAAUGGCACUGCCCGGUAGCUAAAUGCGGAAGAGAUAAGUGCUGAAAGCAUCUAAGCACGAAAC